UUCACCAUGUUGACCAGGCUGGUCUCAAACUUCUGACCUCAAAUGAUCCACCUGCCUCGGGCCUCCCAAAGUGCUGGGAUUACAGGUGUGAGCCACCAUGUCUAGCCCCGAUUUUUUUUUUUUUUUUUGAGACGAGAUUUUUGAGACAAGAGCUUGCUCUGUCACCCAGGCAGGAGUGCAGUGGCACAAUCUCAGCUCACUGCAGCCUCCAGCUUCCCUGGCUCAGGUGAUCCUCCCACCUCAGCCUCCUUUUUUUUUUUUUUUUUUUUUGAGACAGGGUCUCUGUUGCUCAGGCUGGAGUGCAGUGGCACAGUCUCAGCUCACUGCAAUCUCUACCUCCCAGGCUGAAGCGAUCCUCCUACCUCAGCCUCCCGAGUAGCUGGGACUACAGGUGCACACCACCACACCUGGCUAAUGUUUUUAUUUUUUGUAGAGAUGGGGUUUCACCAUGUUGUCAGGUCUGGUCUCGAACUCCUGGGCUCCAGCAGUCCUCCUGCCUUGGCCUCCCCAAGUUAUGGCAUUACCUGUGUGAGCCCUUGGGCCUGGCCACUGAUUUUAAAUUUUUAGUAGAGGUGCGUUCUUCCUAUAUUGCCCAGGCAAAUCUUGAACUUUUGGCCUCAAGCAAUCCUCCUGCCUCUGCCUCCCAAAGUGUUGGGAUUAAAGGUGUGAACCAUGAUGCCUGGCCUCAUCUACCUGUUUUUUGGAAGCAAGGUCUCUUUCUGUUGCCCAUGCUGGAGUGCAUUGGUACAAUCAUAGCUCACUGCCCAUGCUGGAGUGCAGUGGUAUAAUCAUAGCUCAUAGCAGCCUCGACCUCCCAGCCUUGAGCGAUCCUCCCGCCUCAGCCUUCUGAGUAGCUGGGACCACAGGCAUACACCACCAUGGCCGACUAAUUAAAAAAAAAAAUUACUUGUAGAGACGGGGUUUUCCUAUGUCCUCCUCUACCUUUUAGUCAUGAAGAUGGCCUAUGUUUUACACAAAAGUCUUGGUUUUGGUUUUUAUGUUAAAGUCUAUAGUCUAAAGUCUUUAGUUUUAUGUUAAAGUCUAUAAUCCAUCUUGAAUUAAUCUUUGUGUAUGAUGUGAGGUAGGAGUCAUGGUUCCUUUUUGUCCAUAUAGAUACCCUUUAUUCCAGCACCAUUUGUUAAAAAGCACUUGUCCUUUCUUCACUGGAUUGCUCUGGUGUCUUUGUUGAAAACAAAUAACCAUGAAGUGUGGGUCUGUUUCUGGGUUCUCUAUUCUGUUCCAUUAUCAAUUAAUCUAUCCUUACACAAAUGUUACACUGUCCUGGUUAUCAUUUUUUUUUCUUUCAGACAGAGUCUCCCUCUGUCACCCAGGCUGGAGUGUAGUAGCGCAAUGUUGGCUCACUGCAACCUCCGCCUCCUGGGUUCAAGCGAUUCUCGUGCCUCAGCCUCUCAAGUAGCUGGGAGGAGGCAAGUGCCACCACACACUGAUUGCUGUCAUUUUAUAAGAUGGGGUUUCAACAUGUUGUCCAGGCUGGUCUCCAACUCCUGGACUCAAGCGAUCUGCCUGCGUCAGCCUCCCAAAGUGCUGGGACUACAGGCGUGAGCCAUUGCGCCCAGCCUGCUUUAGUUAAGCCUCAUAAACAUUGGUAUCAGUUGGAAACAUUUUAUCUUUUGUGACUUUUGUUUCAUGGGUUACUUAUUUAAUUUACAAAUAUUUGAGCCUUUUCUAGAUAUCCUAUUAUUGGUGUUUUCUAAUUUAAGUCUUUUUCCCCAUGAAUAUAUUCUAUGCAACUUCAGUCCUUUAACAUUUAUUGAAGCUUAUUUUAUGGACAAGCUUAUGGUCUAUGUUGACAGAUUUUUUUUUUUUGAGACGGAGUCUCACACCGUCCACCAGGCUGGAGUGCAGUGGUACGAUCUCAGCUCACUGCAACCUCUGCCUCCCGAGUUCAAGCGAUUCUCCUGUCUCAGCCUCCUGAGUGGCUGGGAUUACAGGCACGCACCACCAUGCCUGGCUAAUUUUUGUAUUUUUAGUAGAGAUGAAGUUUCACCAUGUUGGUCAGGCUGGUCUAGAACUCCUGACCUCGUGAUCCACCUGCCUCGGCCUCCCAAAGUGCUGGGAUUACAGGAGUGAGCCACUGCACCCGGCUUUUUUUUUUUUUGAGACAGUCUUGCACUGUUACCCAGGCUAGAAAGCAAUGGUGCGAUCUCGGCUCACUGCAACCUCCCCCUCCCAUGUUCAAGCAAUUCUCGUGCCUUAGCCUCCUGAGUAACUGGGAUUACAGGCGCCAUCAUGCCCAGCUAAUAUUUUGUAUUUUUAGCAGAGAUGGGGUUUCGCCAUGUUGCCCAGGCUGGUCUCGGACUCCUGAGCUCAGGCAAUCUGCCUGCCUUGGCCUCCCAAAGUGCUGGGAUUACAGGCGUGAGCCACCGCACCUGGCCUAUGUUGGUAAAUGUUCUAUGUGUACUUCAAAUGUGUAUUCUAUACUUGUUGGUUAUAGUGCUCAAUAAAUGUCCAUUGGGCCAAAA